rnacentral:rRNA from 1 species
AACGAACGCUGGCGGCAUGCCUAACACAUGCAAGUCGAACGAGACCUUCGGGUCUAGUGGCGCACGGGUGCGUAACGCGUGGGAACCUGCCCUUAGGUUCGGAAUAACUCCCCGAAAGGGGUGCUAAUACCGGAUAAUGUCUUCGGACCAAAGAUUUAUCGCCUUUGGAUGGGCCCGCGUUGGAUUAGCUAGUUGGUAGGGUAAAAGCCUACCAAGGCGACGAUCCAUAGCUGGUCUGAGAGGAUGAUCAGCUACACUGGGACUGAGACACGGCCCACACUCGUACGGGAGGGAGCAGUAGGGAAUAUUGGAGGAUGGGCGAAAGCCUGAUACAGCAAUGCCGCGUGAGUGAUGAAGGCCUUAGGGUUGUAAAGCUCUUUUACCCGGGAUGAUAAUGACAGUAACGGGAGAAUAAGCUCCGGCUAACUCCGUG